GACGUAGGGCGCGAGCGUUGUCCGGAUUUAUUGGGCGUAAAGAGCUCGUAGGCGGCUUGUUGCGUCAGCUGUGAAAACCCGCAGCUCAACUGUGGGCUUGCAGCUGAUACGGGCAGGCUUGAGUUCGGUAGGGGAGACUGGAAUUCCUGGUGUAGCAGUGAAAUGCGUAGAUAUCAGGAGGAAUACCGAUGGCGAAGGCAGGUCUCUGGGCUGACACUGACGCUCAUGCACGAAAGCGUGGGGAGCAAACAGG
rnacentral:rRNA from 1 species